GACGAACGCUGGCGGCGUGCCUAAUACAUGCAAGUCGAGCGCUGAAGGUUGGUACUUGUACCAACUGGGUGAGCAGCGGACGGGUGAGUAACGCGUGGGGAAUCUGCCUUUGAGAGGGGGACAACAUUUGGAAACGAAUGCUAAUACCGCAUAAAAUCUUUAAACACAUGUUUUAAUAUUGAAAGACGCAAUUGCUUCACUCAAUGAUGGUCCCGCGGUGUAUUAGCUAGUUGGUGAGGUAAAGGUCCACCAAGGGGAUGAUACAUAGCCGACCUGAGAGGGGGAGCGGGCAAAAUGGGAACGGGACAACGCCCAAACCCCCUCGGGAAGGAGCAGGAGGGGAUCUUCCGCAAUGGGCGAAAGGCUGACCGAGCAACCGCGCGUGGGGGAAGAAGGGUUUCGGAUUGGAAAAAUCCGGUGGUAAGGAAGAAAGUUGGGGGGAGUGAAAAGCGCAUCAAGUGACGGUAACUACUCAGAAAGGGACGGCUAACUACGUG
rnacentral:rRNA from 1 species